CUAGUCUCCAACUCCUCAGCUCAAGUGAUCCUCCUGCCUCAGCCUCCCGAAGUGCUGGGAUUUGCAGGUGUGAGCCACCAUGCCUGGACUAACCACUACCUUUUUUGUAUCUUGGUCUCACUCAGUCUCCCAGGCUGCAGUGCAGUGGUGCGAUCAUGGCUCAAUAAUGCAGCUUCAACCUCCCGUGCUCAAGCAAUCCUCUUGCCUCAGCCUCCCAAGUAGCUGGGACUACAGGCACCCAUCACCACACCCGACUAAUUUUUAAGUUUUUUGUAGAGAUGAGGUCUCCUAAUGUUGCUCAGUGAUCCUCCUGCCUUGGCCUCCCAAAGUGCUGGGAUUACAGGUAUGAGUCACCACACUGGGCCCAGAUGACAUGUAAAGCUGUGAAAUGUGCUUAGUAUAAUAGUGUGGAAAAACAGUUUAAUGGCUCUUUUGAUUAGUACAUGUAUAAAUAAGGCAGUAUUGAGAUUUACCCUAUCUUCCAUGAACAAUAAAAUUAUUCUUAGUUGGUACUCUUUUAACGUAAUUCUCAUAUUCCACGAAAAUGUAGUUUACUAUAUAUAAAACCUGUAAGGAGUCCCUGGUUAGACUCAUUUUACUGGACCAUCAAGAGCUACUUUGUUUCUUUGUUCAGUUAUAGAAAAACUGCUGAAGUAUCUAGGCUUAAAUUCUAAAUUCUAAAUUAUACCCUUUAUCAAUCAAUUAAAAAAAAAGUUUUUUUCCACCUUAAGUAGUAAAUAAGAGCAAAUCUUCAGUGCCAGAAUACAAGUCAUCAUUCCACACUGGGCUUCUAAUUUCCUUGUCUGACCAUUAUUUUCCCACCUAUAAAUUAACAGAUGGUAAGAUCUACUUCUGAAGGUUAUCGUGACAAUCUGAUGCGACAAUAUAUGAGAACACUUUGUAAGCUGCAAAAAGUACUAAGUAUUAGAUAUAUUUUUCUAUUAGUUUAAUACAGCCAGUGACUGGCCAACAUUUACCCUUUUUGAGGUUUAUAUAAGGAAUGUUCCAGUCGAUGAGUAGAGCAGCUUUCUGUUAUUAUACUUGGUGUUAAUAGCAGAAAAACAAGGUCUUGGUUUGAAAAAUGCUCCUGCAAGUUUUUGUGAAGCAGCCUCUCUCUAAACGUCAUGAUCUGAUCUGAAUGACGACGGAAUUUGUACCAACCUACCACAUUCUGAAAUACAGAAUAAAAAGGAUAUACAUCUUAAUAGUUACAAUGAUAUGUCUUACUAUUAUAAUU
rnacentral:lncRNA from 1 species